UUUCCGUAGGUGAACCUGCGGAAGGAUCAUUACAGUGUUCCCUGCCCUUCGGGGUAGGAUCGCCACCCUUGACUAUUUAUGAGUGUUGCUUUGGCGGGCCUCGCGGCCUGGCCGCGCCCCGGCUUCGGCGGGGGAGCGCCCGCCAGAGGAUUCUACAAACCUGAUUAUUAGUGUCGUCUGAGUACUAUAUAAUAGUUAAAACUUUCAACAACGGAUCUCUUGGUUCUG
rnacentral:misc_RNA from 1 species